CUCAGAAUAUCUUCUGCCUAUUCUCAUUUCAAAACCAAGCCCUUUAUCUGUGGUUUAGUGGUUGAUUUUUUUCCAUCGCCCACUUACCUGCUUUCCUUCUUUGAUUUCUUUCAUUUUAGAUAUGGGCCUAAAACUCACUGUAUAGACCAGCUGGCUAUGAACUUGUGGCCCCCUUUUACCUCUCAGCAACCUUCCAAAUGGUGAGGUCAUUUAUGGCCAGGCACCAGCAUGAUCACCAACACAGCUGCAUCUCUUUCUAUUUUUGAAGACAUGACUUUGGGCGGACUUCCUCAUUACUCACCAUCCCGUAUCCAACAAACCUUAAGAAAAAGGCAGUGAAGAGAUACUGGAAGAAACAACAGGGACAGAAAAUUAUAGCUCGAAUAUUUGCAUGAAAGACCUCCUGUCCGUUAGUGGUAAUGAAAGCCCUUACUGAGCAGGCUGUAGGACAGUAUUCCUUUGGAUGCUGUGUGAUGAGCCUGACGUGGUACCGAGACUGACCUGGUUUCUACUAUACAAUGAGAGAUGACUUUCAAUUGGAGCCAUGAGGCAUUUCUCUGAGUAUUAGAAUAUUCUGGUAUGGAAUAAAGAGGCUAUGGAGUUUCAAAACAAGA